rnacentral:rRNA from 1 species
CCUACGGGGGGCAGCAGUGGGGAAUAUUGCACAAUGGGCGCAAGCCUGAUGCAACCAUGCCGCGUGUGUGAAGAAGGCCUUCGGGUUGUAAAGCACUUUCAGCGGGGAGGAAGGCGUUAAGGUUAAUAACCUUGGCGAUUGACGUUACCCGCAGAAGAAGCACCGGCUAACUCCGUGCCAGCAGCCGCGGUAAUACGGAGGGUGCAAGCGUUAAUCGGAAUUACUGGGCGUAAAGCGCACGCAGGCGGUCUGUCAAGUCGGAUGUGAAAUCCCCGGGCUCAACCUGGGAACUGCAUUCGAAACUGGCAGGCUAGAGUCUUGUAGAGGGGGGUAGAAUUCCAGGUGUAGCGGUGAAAUGCGUAGAGAUCUGGAGGAAUACCGGUGGCGAAGGCGGCCCCCUGGACAAAGACUGACGCUCAGGUGCGAAAGCGUUGGGAGCAAACAGGAUUAGAUACCCUAGUAGUC